AUUUAAAUAGUUUAAUUAAAAUGCUGGUUUGUGGUGCUAGAGAUGUAGUUUUUACUUUAAAUU
rnacentral:tRNA from 1 species